rnacentral:rRNA from 1 species
ACUAAGCGUACACGGUGGAUGCCCUGGCAGUCAGAGGCGAUGAAGGACGUGCUAAUCUGCGAUAAGCGUCGGUAAGGUGAUAUGAACCGUUAUAACCGGCGAUUUCCGAAUGGGGAAACCCAGUGUGAUUCGUCACACUAUCAUUAACUGAAUCCAUAGGUUAAUGAGGCGAACCGGGGGAACUGAAACAUCUAAGUACCCCGAGGAAAAGAAAUCAACCGAGAUUCCCCCAGUAGCGGCGAGCGAACGGGGAGCAGCCCAGAGCCUGAAUCAGUGUGUGUGUUAGUGGAAGCGUCUGGAAAGGCGCGCGAUACAGGGUGACAGCCCCGUACACAAAAAUGCACAUACUGUGAGCUCGAUGAGUAGGGCGGGACACGUGGUAUCCUGUCUGAAUAUGGGGGGACCAUCCUCCAAGGCUAAAUACUCCUGACUGACCGAUAGUGAACCAGUACCGUGAGGGAAAGGCGAAAAGAACCCCGGCGAGGGGAGUGAAAAAGAACCUGAAACCGUGUACGUACAAGCAGUGGGAGCACGCUUAGGCGUGUGACUGCGUACCUUUUGUAUAAUGGGUCAGCGACUUAUAUUCUGUAGCAAGGUUAACCGAAUAGGGGAGCCGAAGGGAAACCGAGUCUUAACUGGGCGUUAAGUUGCAGGGUAUAGACCCGAAACCCGGUGAUCUAGCCAUGGGCAGGUUGAAGGUUGGGUAACACUAACUGGAGGACCGAACCGACUAAUGUUGAAAAAUUAGCGGAUGACUUGUGGCUGGGGGUGAAAGGCCAAUCAAACCGGGAGAUAGCUGGUUCUCCCCGAAAGCUAUUUAGGUAGCGCCUCGUGAAUUCAUCUCCGGGGGUAGAGCACUGUUUCGGCAAGGGGGUCAUCCCGACUUACCAACCCGAUGCAAACUGCGAAUACCGGAGAAUGUUAUCACGGGAGACACACGGCGGGUGCUAACGUCCGUCGUGAAGAGGGAAACAACCCAGACCGCCAGCUAAGGUCCCAAAGUCAUGGUUAAGUGGGAAACGAUGUGGGAAGGCCCAGACAGCCAGGAUGUUGGCUUAGAAGCAGCCAUCAUUUAAAGAAAGCGUAAUAGCUCACUGGUCGAGUCGGCCUGCGCGGAAGAUGUAACGGGGCUAAACCAUGCACCGAAGCUGCGGCAGCGACACUAUGUGUUGUUGGGUAGGGGAGCGUUCUGUAAGCCUGUGAAGGUGUACUGUGAGGUAUGCUGGAGGUAUCAGAAGUGCGAAUGCUGACAUAAGUAACGAUAAAGCGGGUGAAAAGCCCGCUCGCCGGAAGACCAAGGGUUCCUGUCCAACGUUAAUCGGGGCAGGGUGAGUCGACCCCUAAGGCGAGGCCGAAAGGCGUAGUCGAUGGGAAACAGGUUAAUAUUCCUGUACUUGGUGUUACUGCGAAGGGGGGACGGAGAAGGCUAUGUUGGCCGGGCGACGGUUGUCCCGGUUUAAGCGUGUAGGCUGGUUUUCCAGGCAAAUCCGGAAAAUCAAGGCUGAGGCGUGAUGACGAGGCACUACGGUGCUGAAGCAACAAAUGCCCUGCUUCCAGGAAAAGCCUCUAAGCAUCAGGUAACAUCAAAUCGUACCCCAAACCGACACAGGUGGUCAGGUAGAGAAUACCAAGGCGCUUGAGAGAACUCGGGUGAAGGAACUAGGCAAAAUGGUGCCGUAACUUCGGGAGAAGGCACGCUGAUAUGUAGGUGAAGCGACUUGCUCGUGGAGCUGAAAUCAGUCGAAGAUACCAGCUGGCUGCAACUGUUUAUUAAAAACACAGCACUGUGCAAACACGAAAGUGGAAGUAUACGGUGUGACGCCUGCCCGGUGCCGGAAGGUUAAUUGAUGGGGUUAGCGCAAGCGAAGCUCUUGAUCGAAGCCCCGGUAAACGGCGGCCGUAACUAUAACGGUCCUAAGGUAGCGAAAUUCCUUGUCGGGUAAGUUCCGACCUGCACGAAUGGCGUAAUGAUGGCCAGGCUGUCUCCACCCGAGACUCAGUGAAAUUGAACUCGCUGUGAAGAUGCAGUGUACCCGCGGCAAGACGGAAAGACCCCGUGAACCUUUACUAUAGCUUGACACUGAACAUUGAGCCUUGAUGUGUAGGAUAGGUGGGAGGCUUUGAAGUGUGGACGCCAGUCUGCAUGGAGCCGACCUUGAAAUACCACCCUUUAAUGUUUGAUGUUCUAACGUUGACCCGUGAUCCGGGUUGCGGACAGUGUCUGGUGGGUAGUUUGACUGGGGCGGUCUCCUCCUAAAGAGUAACGGAGGAGCACGAAGGUUGGCUAAUCCUGGUCGGACAUCAGGAGGUUAGUGCAAUGGCAUAAGCCAGCUUGACUGCGAGCGUGACGGCGCGAGCAGGUGCGAAAGCAGGUCAUAGUGAUCCGGUGGUUCUGAAUGGAAGGGCCAUCGCUCAACGGAUAAAAGGUACUCCGGGGAUAACAGGCUGAUACCGCCCAAGAGUUCAUAUCGACGGCGGUGUUUGGCACCUCGAUGUCGGCUCAUCACAUCCUGGGGCUGAAGUAGGUCCCAAGGGUAUGGCUGUUCGCCAUUUAAAGUGGUACGCGAGCUGGGUUUAGAACGUCGUGAGACAGUUCGGUCCCUAUCUGCCGUGGGCGCUGGAGAACUGAGGGGGGCUGCUCCUAGUACGAGAGGACCGGAGUGGACGCAUCACUGGUGUUCGGGUUGUCAUGCCAAUGGCACUGCCCGGUAGCUAAAUGCGGAAGAGAUAAGUGCUGAAAGCAUCUAAGCACGAAACUUGCCCCGAGAUGAGUUCUCCCUGACUCCUUGAGAGUCCUGAAGGAACGUUGAAGACGACGACGUUGAUAGGCCGGGUGUGUAAGCGCAGCGAUGCGUUGAGCUAACCGGUACUAAUGAACCGUGAGGCUUAACC